AGGACCAAGAUGGCACAUUUAGGUGGGUGGACAAAACUGCAGUGGAGUUUUCAAACUGGAGCCCAAAUUUCCCUCAGAACUCAGCAAACCUGUGGGACUGUGGUCAGAUUUACACCGGAAACUAUGCUGGAAAAUGGGAAACCACGAACUGCUUUAAAAACCUGGGAUAUAUUUGCAAGAUGCCUGGAGGACAGAAUGUGAAGCCCACAGCGGCUCCAGACUCACACUGUGAUGAAGGCUAUCUGCUCUUCGGUGAACACUGCUAUCACUUUGAGACUGAAACAGUCAAGAACUGGCAAGAUGCAGAAAAUUUCUGUGUGGCUCAGAACGGACACCUGGUCAGCAUCCACAACCAAGAAACCGUCAGCUUUC